UUUCUGCCAAUUAAACUGACUGUGUUCUGUUCCCCAUGGGGGGCUGAUGUGCAGUGGCUGCAGAGAGCAGCCUUCCCGGUAGUGUAUGCCACCUGUUAUCUGUACAGGGAACUUGGGGACAGCC
ensembl:snoRNA SNORA70 Small nucleolar RNA SNORA70